rnacentral:rRNA from 1 species
GCAGCCGCGGUAAUACGUAGGGGGCAAGCGUUAUCCGGAUUCAUUGGGCGUAAAGCGCGCGUAGGCGGCCAGCCUGGUCGGGAGUCAAAUCCGGGGGCUCAACCCCCGUCCGCUCCCGAUACCGGCCGGCUUGAGUCUGGCAGGGGAAGGCGGAAUUCCCGGUGUAGCGGUGGAAUGCGCAGAUAUCGGGAAGAACACCGGUGGCGAAGGCGGCCUUCUGGGCCACGACUGACGCUGAGGCGCGAAAGCUAGGGGAGCGAACAGGAUUAGAUACCCC